UACGGAGGGAGCUAGCGUUGUUCGGAAUUACUGGGCGUAAAGCGCACGUAGGCGGCUUUGUAAGUUAGAGGUGAAAGCCCGGGGCUCAACCCCGGAAUUGCCUUUAAGACUGCAUCGCUUGAAUCCGGGAGAGGUGAGUGGAAUUCCGAGUGUAGAGGUGAAAUUCGUAGAUAUUCGGAAGAACACCAGUGGCGAAGGCGGCUCACUGGACAGGUAUUGACGCUGAGGUGCGAAAGCGUGGGGAGCAAACAGG
rnacentral:rRNA from 1 species